rnacentral:rRNA from 1 species
UACGUAGGGGGCAAGCGUUGUCCGGAUUUAUUGGGCGUAAAGAGCGUGUAGGCGGCCAGGUAGGUCAGCUGUGAAAACUCGAGGCUCAACCUCGAGACGUCGGUUGAAACCAUCUGGCUAGAGUCCGGAAGAGGAGAGUGGAAUUCCUGGUGUAGCGGUGAAAUGCGCAGAUAUCAGGAGGAACACCGAUGGCGAAGGCAGCCCCCUGGGAUAACACUGACGCUCAUGCACGAAAGCGUGGGGAGCAAACAGG